CCUUUAAAACAAGCACUUGAUACAUCCUUUUAAUUUCAAUUUGAUUGGCAUUUGGAUCAACUCCCAGCACCUUGUAAAAAUUACCACUAGAAAAUUGUUUAUCCGUCAUUGUGUACGCCAUUUCUUCCGCCUUCGUUCCAUAUUUCGUUCUAGAAAUGUAAAAGAUUCGGCAAGAGUUUCUGAAGUCUGAAGUGUUCCAGAAUUACCUGAAAUUAAUCUUCCCUCGCGUGACGUGUCCGAUGUCCCGUCACGCGUGUAAAUACUAAAAGUGCGUGAUUCCAAUAUGGCGGUCGCAACUCGAUUUUUCAGGGCAAGUUUAAGUUCAUAUUUACGGCAAGGAAACCAGGUAUUUUUACGGAUUUUUGUAUCUUAUUGAGCGUAUAACUAUUAUCUUACAUUAGGACAAUUUAAAUUUUUUUAAAGAAAUUUGAUCGUGUACUAUAAAUACGUGAGAUAUAAAUAGCCCUAAAAUAGGUAAAAUAGCCCCCCUUCAUACUUUAUAUACUUCUUUCAUAUAAUGAAAACCUAAUUUUUUUAUGCACUGUACAUUUAUUAGAAAUCAAGAUAUUUGCUUAUGAAACCAAGCUACUGGUGAGCUAUCCUAUGCUUUUUCUUGAUAGUAUAAACUUUGAUUUUAUAUUUUGUAACAACAUAAAUAUUAAAAUUUGUUGUGCCUUUUAGGGUGAAAGGGGGUGCACACCACUAGAAAAGUCCCCCCACCCCACCCCUUAGACGAAGUCAAAACUAAAGCUUACUGAGAUUUUAUGAUUCAUAGAAUUGUUUAUUUUGUGUGCUGAAAAAGCAGGUGGGGAAAGAUGGUGCAUUUUGAAAACAAAAUAUCGAAGAUCUCCAACAUAGUUGUAGAGUUACAAUUACUGAUACAGGCAGUGUGGAAAGUUUGUAUUGCACAGCGGAUAUGCUUUCUAUGUAUUUGCUAUUAAAUUUUCGAAAUCACCGCUGUGCAAUUUUCAAACUUACCAGUCAGGCAACACAGUAUGGCAGCUCAGCAUAGGAUUUUCUUUUCUAGCCUGUAUGGCAUAUUGGCUUAUGAACUUAAAUCAGCCUUUUGGCACAUUAUUCACUUACCAUUUUCCAACAGUUUUAUGCAUUUUUAAACUAUAGGGCUGAAAAAAUACCUGUGGUUCCGGUUUCAUAUUGUGAAAAAAUUGGGGUCGGGAGGUCGGAAAUAAAUGUUUUUUUCAUGGUUUUGGUGUUUUUUUUGCUGGGCGAUUUGCAGUUGAGUCCUGACAUCAAUAUUAACUAGAGAUGUGUAUAUCCUAUGGAUGAAUUUAGGCAAUUUGGUUCAAUAAUUUGUCGUCCGCCAUCUUUAGUUACUUAUCAUCUUCAAACUCUGUAUGAGCAGCCUGCAACCACCUGGAGAAAAUAAGGUUGCACGGUCAAUCGCGAUGAAAAAAUAAUUAGGGUCGGCAGAAAAAAAUAGGGUUGGUUGGGAACCGGAACCACAGGUAAUUUUUUUUAUGCCUAGUAUAUAUUACCAUUUUUCAAAAUGUCAGAAUAUCUCGAGUCUUUCGAAGCGUUAUUGGUAUAUAAUAAACUGCAUUCUAUUUGGUAUAAUAGUAAAACUUCGCUUUGGCGUAAAACCGGCAAAUCUUUUACAUGGCACCACAUGGCCUCACCUGAAAAAUCUAUUGCCCCGACUUCCCUCUAUCAAUUUGGCCAGAUAUACCCUUAUUCUAUAAUAUUAAACUAGCUAAUCCACUGCAGAACGUAGACUAUGGCAGUGGAUUUAAUUAUUCAACAUAGAGGUAAAUAACAUUUACAGUGUGAUCUUAUGGAAUUUUAAUAUAGACCUAUUUCUUUUGAAGGUUUGUGCAACACAAGCAAACAUAUUCCACUGUUGAUAAG
rnacentral:lncRNA from 1 species